ACUUUGCACGAGCCUCCCUCUUUCGCGACCGACCGUGACUUUUUCACAUCGAUGGUUGGUGUAAAGAGGACUGAGCUUUUGGAAAUCAUUCAGAUCCUUCACACUGAUGGAACACCGAAAUAACUGAAUCAGUCUAUGAUGUUUUCAACAGAGUACUGUAUGGUGACUGCAGAAGCUGGUG